GUGGGUGGCAAGCGUUGUCCGGAAUUAUUGGGCGUAAAGCGCGCGCAGGCGGUUCUUUAAGUCUGAUGUGAAAGCCCACGGCUCAACCGUGGAGGGUCAUUGGAAACUGGAGAACUUGAGUACAGAAGAGGAAAGCGGAAUUCCACGUGUAGCGGUGAAAUGCGUAGAGAUGUGGAGGAACACCAGUGGCGAAGGCGGCUUUCUGGUCUGUAACUGACGCUGAGGCGCGAAAGCGUGGGGAGCAAACAGGGAUUAGAUACCCUGGUAGUCCACGCCGUAAACGAUGAGUGCUAAGUGUUAGGGGGUUUCCGCCCCCUUAGUGCUGCAGCUAACGCAUUAAGCACUCCGCCUGGGGAGUACGGCCGCAAGGCUA
rnacentral:rRNA from 1 species